rnacentral:rRNA from 1 species
GGUUUCUUGUAAGUUUUAAAAUAAUGAGAAAUCUGACCUGCCCAAUGAAUAUUAAGGUUAAAUGGCCGCGGUAUUUUGACCGUGCGAAGGUAGCAUAAUCAUUAGUCUUUUAAUUGUGGACUGGAAUGAAUGGUUGGACGUAAUAGAAUCUUUUUUAGUUUUAUUUAUUGAAUUUUACUUUUUAGUGAAGAGGCUAAAAUGAGGCCAAAAGACAAGAAGACCCUAUCAAGUUUUAUUAUUGAAUAUUUUUUAUUAUGAAGUGAGGUUGUAAUAUGAUUUAAUUUUACUGGGGCGGUGAAUGUAAAACUGAUUAAGAUCCAAAAUUUUUGAUUGUUUGUUUAAAUUACUGUAGGGAUAACAGCGUAAUCUUAUUUGAGAGUUCAUAUCGACAAUAAGGGUUGCGACCUCGAUGUUGGAUUAGAAUUCCUUCUUGGAGCAGAAUCUAAGAGUGGUGGUCUGUUCGACCAUUAAAAUUCUACA